rnacentral:tRNA from 3 species
GCCGAUGUAGCUCAGUGGGAGAGCAUUCGAUUCGUAAUCGAAUGGUCGCGGGUUCAAAUCCCGCCAUCGGCU